rnacentral:rRNA from 1 species
AACGAACGCUGGCGGCAUGCCUAACACAUGCAAGUCGAACGAGACCUUCGGGUCUAGUGGCGCACGGGCGCGUAACGCGUGGGAACCUGCCUUUAGGUUCGGAAUAACUCAGAGAAAUUUGAGCUGAUACCGGAUGAUGUCUUCGGACCAAAGAUUUAUCGCCUUUAGAUGGGCCCGCGUUGGAUUAGCUAGUUGGUGGGGUAAAGGCCUACCAAGGCGACGAUCCAUAGCUGGUCUGAGAGGAUGAUCAGCCACACUGGGACUGAGACACGGCCCAGACUCCUACGGGAGGCAGCAGUGGGGAAUAUUGGACAAUGGGCGAAAGCCUGAUCCAGCAAUGCCGCGUGAGUGAUGAAGGCCUUAGGGUUGUAAAGCUCUUUUACCCGAGAUGAUAAUGACAGUAUCGGGAGAAUAAGCUCCGGCUAACUCCGUG